GACGAACCGUGCGAACGUUGUUCGGAAUCACUGGGCUUAAAGGGCGCGUAGGCGGCCAUGUUAGUCUCGGGUGAAAUCUUUCGGCUCAACCGGAAACGUGCCUGGGAUACUGCAUGGCUGGAGGGAGGUAGGGGCGGACGGAACUUCCGGUGGAGCGGUGAAAUGCGUUGAUAUCGGAAGGAACGCCGGUGGCGAAAGCGGUCCGACUGGACCUCUACUGACGCUGAGGCGCGAAAGCCAGGGGAGCAAAGCGGG
rnacentral:rRNA from 1 species